UACUAUGUUAAGCAAAAAAUAAACCACAC
rnacentral:piRNA from 1 species